UACGAAGGGGGCUAGCGUUGUUCGGAUUUACUGGGCGUAAAGCGCGCGUAGGCGGAUCACUAAGUCAGGGGUGAAAUCCCGAGGCUUAACCUCGGAACUGCCUUUGAUACUGAUGAUCUGGAGAUCGGGAGAGGUUGGUGGAAUUCCGAGUGUAGAGGUGAAAUUCGUAGAUAUUCGGAGGAACACCAGAAGCGAAGGCGGCCAACUGGCCCGAUACUGACGCUGAGGCGCGAAAGCGUGGGGAGCAAACAGG
rnacentral:rRNA from 1 species